CUUUAUUUGAGAGUUUGAUCCUGGCUCAGGAUGAACGCUGGCGGCGUGCUUAACACAUGCAAGUCGAACGAAGCACAAAAGCGGAAGCCUUCGGGUGGAAGCUUUUGUGACUGAGUGGCGGACGGGUGAGUAACGCGUGGGUAACCUGCCUCAUACAGAGGGAUAACAGCUGGAAACGGCU
rnacentral:rRNA from 1 species